rnacentral:tRNA from 1 species
GUUUCGAUAGUUUAAAGAGAACGUAGCUUUGAAGUAGCUAAGGUAAUGAUUAUGUUUUGAGAUG